rnacentral:misc_RNA from 1 species
CUUAAAAAGACUAACCCCUUAUAAGUAGAUGCGCCCGAAUUAACUAACUAUUUUAGAGUAAUAUGCUAAAAAAAGGUGACAAAGUUAACAGAUCGUAACCAACAAAACGUUAGUCGCAUAUCAUCCGCAUAACACCAUUUUGCGAUACAACGAGCUACAUCGACAACCACCAAGCAGUGCGUUACACCUGAAAUUCCCACACGCUCGAUACAAUAAGCCA